CAUCAUCCUAAGGCAACGCUAUCAGAGAUGCCCCUUUGUAAAGGUUCCUCUACCCCGAAACAGAAUGAAAAACUUUCCGAUCAAACCUUGCACAACAUCUCUGGGACAUCAGCCGAUCUCAGAAUACAAUUGGCGUUGUCCGAUAUCAGCGACGACGAGGAAUAAGACCAUUCUGUAGUGAAAAGAACGCUGUCUAACAUAACGGCGAUACCACCCGCCAAUCACAUGGACGUCAUCCCGCAAAUCCUGAAGGACUAUCUUGAGAGAGUCAGCGCCCAAAGCAGCAGAUUUUUCAGUGCCCAUACUCUGUUAUAAUUAUUCAAAUAAAUAAAUAAGCCAAAAAUUA